CACAAAACUCACAUCACAGGGAGGCUCAGUGAAAAAGUUUGUAGAGGUCUUAAGUGAGAACUGACAAUUUCAGAAGUUGUCUUACAGGGCCACACAGGUGCCCUGGGGAAUGGCGCCAGUUUGGUUCCCAUUUUGUCAUUUUCGAUGAGACUCCAUGAUCUUGGGCGGAUGUGGAGUACAAGAGCUGGUCCUGGACUGAUGGCUCUGGAUUUAAUUACCGACAGUGGGCAGAAGGAAUGCCUAACAACUCUAUUGCUGGACAGUCGUGUAUUCAGAUGAAUACUGGAGAUAAACAUCGCUGGAACAAUGAAGUCUGUGAAAAGCCCUUUGCUUCUGUCUACUCACAAAGCGAUUGAAAUCAAUUGUUGCUGUC